rnacentral:rRNA from 1 species
GACGAACGCUGGCGGCAUGCCUAAUACAUGCAAGUCGAGCGAAUGAUGAAGAAGCUUGCUUCUUCUGAUUUAGCGGCGGACGGGCGAGUAACACGUGAGUAACCUGCCCUUGACUUUGGGAUAACUUCAGGAAACUGGGGCUAAUACCGGAUAGGAGCUCCUGCUGCAUGGUGGGGUUGGAAAGUUUCGGCGGUUGGGGAUGGACUCGCGGCUUAUCAGCUUGUUGGUGGGGUAGUGGCUUACCAAGGCUUUGACGGGUAGCCGGCCUGAGAGGGUGACCGGCCACAUUGGGACUGAGAUACGGCCCAG